rnacentral:lncRNA from 1 species
GGCCUCUGUUGCAGCCUGCUCUCUGCCCCGUCCUGCAUCCCUCACUCUCUCACAGGUCUUCUCCCCUGCGUGCAAAUCUCCACUUCGGAGUCUGUCUCCUGGAGAACCCGACUGAAGGCCGUUGGUACUGAGAAUGGUGCCAGGGAGAAAAUUGGAUGGAGGUGAGGAUCCGCUCCCGGAGAGCGCCAAGGACGUGGGAAAGCCUCAGCAAGGGCACACAGCAGUCCGAGCCCUCCGCAGAGGCCCCGAGGAGGGGCGGGCGUCAGUCUGCGGGACCUCAUCACAAGAUCUGAGCGGUGGUCAGCUUCUGCAGCAGAGAGGGCAGUCAGGAAAUCUGCCUGCUUGGGGUUGCUGGGAAGCGUCUGGAUUUUUAGGCUUGGUGACCACAAAUCUGGGUUCGGGGGAGUGGCUGCACAGACCCCGUUCUGGACCUUUUCUGCCUCUGUAUUUGAAGCCCAGACCACGACGGGCUACCGGCUCUGUAUCUUCCAACAGCAAAUAAAUACGUUGAUUAGAGUCACAACUCUCGGGGAGGUUGACACAGACUAUAUUUGUG